UACGUAGGGUGCAAGCGUUGUCCGGAAUUAUUGGGCGUAAAGAGCUCGUAGGCGGCCUGUCACGUCGGCUGUGAAAACCCGGGGCUCAACCCCGGGCCUGCAGUCGAUACGGGCAGGCUAGAGUUCGGCAGGGGAGACUGGAAUUCCUGGUGUAGCGGUGAAAUGCGCAGAUAUCAGGAGGAACACCGGUGGCGAAGGCGGGUCUCUGGGCCGACACUGACGCUGAGGAGCGAAAGCGUGGGGAGCGAACAGG
rnacentral:rRNA from 1 species